GAUCAUGAAGAGCAUGGAGCUUCUCUGAGGGAAAUUAUGCGGAGUCUGAUUACCGUCAGAUAGGGUUUGGGUGUGCAGAAGAUUCUUAUAGCAAUGGCGAUUGCAGAAUUGGUUGGUGUUGUCCGUUACUAUAGCCUGAAGGCUGUCAAGAUGAUGAGGUGACAGGAGGAUGAGCAUCGGCGAGCCACAGAUUGUGGGCCGGCCGAUGACGAGGACAUGGAUCCCAAUGUUUUUCACUGGUGCCUCGGCUACAAAAGGUUAUAUACUUUGAUCGAGACCAGGAAUUACUUUGGUAUGUCCUUCCCAGGCAUAAUAAUAGAGCAGGUGUUGAGUUUGUCACUUCCGAGAAUCGUUGUUUUGGGUAACCAGGGCAGCCUGAGGGUACUACCCGGCCAUGCAAGGGGUCUGAGAGGGGCAAAUCAAUCUGGUUCACACGUUUUCACCAGUACAGUAAAAAUUGGCUCCCGCUUCUACUCCAGCCGUUGGAUGCGGUUCAUUUUUCCUCACUUGUUCAUCCUCCAAGCAAGUCCAUGACGCAUGGGACCGAGUACAUGCGGGAUUCACCGAGCAGAGGGAGCGAUGCUGCUCGUCCGCGUCGCAUGCUUUGGCUGUUUUCUCGUGGGAGUGGGUAGACAAACCCUAGCUGGCCAAUCCCCAUCUCCACUCCCAUCUGCCCAAUCCUCAUCUCCACUUCCCUCCGCCGCCUCUCCUUGGCCGAUCUCCACCUUCCGCCUGGACGCGGCCGCAGCAACGGUAGAAAACACGCGCCUGAGCGAAGG